rnacentral:lncRNA from 10 species
UGAGGUUUGCUCAUCUGUGAGUCAGGCUGAGGCACCCAUGCCUUGGGGUGGCCUUGAGGUUAAGGGGUCUGUUUGUGUGAAAUGCUCAGGGCUGGGCCUGCCCUCAGCACACUCAACAGGUGACAGAGACCGUGACCAUGAUGUCGGACCCGUCAGCCGCCCUUACAGCAGAAAAAAGAAGACCUAAUCCACAGUCCCAAACAGGUGUGAGAGAUUAUUUCAUCUAACACAGGAGAGCAUGCUGACAUGGGUGAAGAUUGACUUUGGAUUAAAAACAUGAUUUCAUUUUUAAAAGCAAUAGAAACAAAAUGACAGCUACAUUUGCCCUUC